rnacentral:tRNA from 1 species
GCGGAUAUAACUCAGUGGUAGAGUAACGUCUUGCCAAGAUGAAGGCCGCGCGUUCGAGUCGCGUUAUCCGCU